GAUGAACGCUAGCGGGAGGCUUAACACAUGCAAGUCGAGGGGUAGGGAAGCAAUUCCUGAGACCGGCGGACGGGUGCGUAACGCGUAUGCAACCUGCCUUAUACAGGGGGAUAGCCCAUGGAAACGUGGAUUAACACCCCAUAGGAUUACGGGAUCGCAUGAUUUUGUGAUUAAAACUGAGGUGGUAUAAGAUGGGCAUGCGUCUGAUUAGGUAGUUGGUAGGGUAAUGGCCUACCAAGCCGACGAUCAGUAGGGGUUCUGAGAGGAUUACCCCCCGCACUGGUACUGAGACACGGACCAGACUCCUACGGGAGGCAGCAGUGAGGAAUAUUGGUCAAUGGCCGGAAGGCUGAACCAGCCAUCCCGCGUGCAGGAUGACGGCCCUACGGGUUGUAAACUGCUUUUGUACCUGAAGAAUAGGCCCAACGAGUUGGGAUUUGCCGGUAAGGUAUGAAUAAGCAUCGGCUAACUCCGUGCCAGCCGCCGCGGUAACAC
rnacentral:rRNA from 1 species